CCUACGGGAGGCAGCAGUGGGGAAUAUUGCACAAUGGGGGAAACCCUGAUGCAGCGACGCCGCGUGAGUGAAGAAGUAUCUCGGGAUGUAAAGCUCUAUUAGCAGGGAAGAAAAUGACGGUACCUGACCAAGAAGCCCCGGCUAACUAGGUGCCAGCAGCCGCGGUAAUACGUAGGGGGCAAGCGUUACCCGGUUUUACUGGGUGGAAAGGGAGCGGAGACGGCAGCACAAGUCUGGAGUGAAAUCCCGGGGGUUAACCCCGGAACUGCUUUGGAAACUGUGCGGCUGGAGUGCAGGAGGGGUAAGCGGAAUUCCUAGUGUAGCGGUGAAAGGCGUAGAUAUUAGGAGGAACACCGAUGGCGAAGGCAGCUUACUGGACUGUAACUGACGUUGAGGCGCGAAAGCAUGGGGAGCGAACAGGAUUAGAUACCCCAGUAGUC
rnacentral:rRNA from 1 species